rnacentral:rRNA from 1 species
AGAGUUUGAUCCUGGCUCAGAUUGAACGCUGGCGGCAGGCCUAACACAUGCAAGUCGAGCGGUAACAGGGGUAGCUUGCUACCCGCUGACGAGCGGCGGACGGGUGAGUAAUGCAUAGGAAUCUGCCCGAUAGUGGGGGAUAACCUGGGGAAACCCAGGCUAAUACCGCAUACGUCCUACGGGAGAAAGGGGGCUCCGGCUCCCGCUAUUGGAUGAGCCUAUGUCGGAUUAGCUAGUUGGUGAGGUAAUGGCUCACCAAGGCAACGAUCCGUAGCUGGUCUGAGAGGAUGAUCAGCCACAUCGGGACUGAGACACGGCCCGAACUCCUACGGGAGGCAGCAGUGGGGAAUAUUGGACAAUGGGGGCAACCCUGAUCCAGCCAUGCCGCGUGUGUGAAGAAGGCCCUCGGGUUGUAAAGCACUUUCAGCGAGGAAGAACGCCUAUCGGUUAAUACCCGGUAGGAAAGACAUCACUCGCAGAAUAAGCACCGGCUAACUCCGUGCCAGCAGCCGCGGU